GACGAACCGUGCGAACGUUAUUCGGAAUCACUGGGCUUAAAGCGCGUGUAGGUGGAUCGCCGCGUCGGCUGCUGAAAUCCCCCGGCUCAACCGGGGAACGGGCACCGAUACGGGCGGUCUCGAGGGGGGUAGGGGGGUCUGGAACUUCCGGUGGAGCAGUGAAAUGCGUUGAGAUCGGAAGGAACGCCCGUGGCGAAGGCGAGGCCCUGGACCCUUACUGACGCUGAGACGCGAAAGCGAGGGGAGCGAACAGG
rnacentral:rRNA from 1 species